rnacentral:rRNA from 1 species
UACGAAGGGGGCUAGCGUUGCUCGGAAUCACUGGGCGUAAAGCGCACGUAGGCGGAUUCUUAAGUCAGGGGUGAAAUCCUGGAGCUCAACUCCAGAACUGCCUUUGAUACUGGGAGUCUCGAGUCCGGGAGAGGUGAGUGGAACUGCGAGUGUAGAGGUGAAAUUCGUAGAUAUUCGCAAGAACACCCGAGGUGAAGACGGGUUGCUGGGCCGACACUGACGCUGACAGCGCGAAAGCCAGGGGAGCAAACGGG